rnacentral:rRNA from 1 species
UACAGAGGGUGCAAGCGUUAAUCGGAAUUACUGGGCGUAAAGCGUGCGUAGACGGUUAUUUAAGUCAGGUGUGAAAGCCCAGGGCUCAACCUUGGAAUUGCAUUUGAGACUGAAUAGCUAGGGUGCGGAAGAGGGAAGCGGAAUUUCCGGUGUAGCGGUGAAAUGCGUAGAUAUCAGGAGGAACACCGGUGGUGUAGACGGCUUUCUGGACCGUAACUGACGCUGAGACAGAAGACGUGGGUAGCAAACAGG